GCACUACUGAGGAGUCUCAUACAAAGACGAAACGGCCGUCCAGUGC
rnacentral:hammerhead_ribozyme from 1 species